CCUACCUUGGAAGAGCUGGCAGGGAGGCGACAGCCUGUGUCCACCCCUGGAGCGAGACCCGCUGGGCCGGGAGGAGGUGGGAGCAGAGGCCCAGCUGGGGCGCGUGGUCUCCCGCCGCCCUGCGAGCCGGAAACCCGCGGAGGCUGUGGACAAGCAAAUUUCUGGGGUUUGGGCACUCCCCCGGGAGCCCCCAGCACGCAGGGUCACACGUGCAGUGGGUGGCUCUCACUUCCUCCCGGGAACAGCGCCGCCGCCGCCUUGAGGUUUCCACCUCCGCCGGCUCCUGCCCGCUGCCCCUCCCCGAGGAGGGACCCCGGUUGUUCUUUGGGGAGCUGGUUGCCCGGUCGGCUCCGGGUGGGCAGGGCGGACAGUCCCCCUGGGCGGGCCCCUUCCCGCCCUUCCCGCCGGCCCCUGAGCCCGCCGUCCCCUCCUGCUGCUCAGGGACUGGCCGGCUCCCUCUCCUGGGGCAGCGGUGGGACCCACAGCGUCAGGUGCUGUGGGUGCGUUCCUCCUCCCCAGGCCCAGCUGCCCCGCUGGCUGCGGAGGUUGUGUCCUUAGCAGGAGCACAGCUUGCUCUUCCUGCUUGGUGCCGGGCUCCUGGAGCCAGUGGAGUGUGCCUCCCGACCUGUCCCCUGGGAGGGGGCGGGACUCGCGUCCAGUGGGCUGAAUGUCUGGCAGGAUGGCUGGGGCCAUGUAUGUCCCUUGCCAGCCUGGGAGAGCGUUGUGGGGGGUCCCCUUCCCCCAGCUUUGCUCUCUCCUGCUCGUGCCUGUCACCCCCACUAGGACCUGGUGCCUGCUCAAGGUCGGCCUGCUCUGGACUGGGGAGGUGGGGGGGGGGCACAUGACCCCUCUCCAUCUGCCUCACCCCUCCUGUCCCUGCCCUCCUUCCUCCCCACCCCCUCAGGGAGAAGGACCCUGGGCAGGAAUGGGGACAGUAGCCUGCGGGGUGGGUGGAGUCGAGACUGGGCAAGAGUGGGUCCUGCUGUGGGGUGAGGGCUGCCUUACAGCCCCACCAGCCCCAUCCUCCCCCUCCAGAUGAGCCCAGCCCCUCGUCCCAUCAUCCCCCACUGAGCUCCUGCCCAGUGCAGGGUCCUGGUGGCAAAGCCAGAGCGCACUGUCCUUGCUGGAAUGACUGAUUCAGCCUGAUACGGGCCGCAGCCAGUGCUGAGCCCUCCUGGCUGUGCUGUCCCCACCAGCUGGGCACUCCUCUCCCCCACCUGCUGCAGGCUCCCUUCUCUCUCCUCUGUGGCUCUCGUCACACUCACACUGCCGUCCCUCGUGUGCCCCUACCUGAUACAGUGAUACCACUCAUAUGUCCGUCACUGCUGGGCCCCAUGGAUGCCAAAGCUUGGGGCGGGCAUCUGCCUGCCAUUUGCUGCCCUCUGCCCUCUGCCCUCUGCCCAGGACCUAGAGAAGAGCCUGCCACCUGCUCGCUGCUCGGCAGGUGUCCCUGAGCACUGCACCCCGUCAGCUCCUGGCUGUGGGUUGUCCUCCUGCUGCAGGGGACACAUCUGGCUUUUGUGGGGCUUGAUGUUCAGACAAAUUUGGGCCCCAUCUUUAAGAACCUGGAGAUGGAGUUCUGUACAAAGCCAGCCUGGGGCCUUGUGCCUCAGCUGAAGGUAAACCCGCUCCAGCUGAACGGAACCACGUCCCAGGGACGGAACCGCGUGCAGAGGAGCCGGCUGCAGACGUGGGGAGAAGGGCGUGGGGAGAAGGGCGAGAGGGUCUGCACCGCAGCUUGGCGGGGAUCAGCGGGGAUCAAGCAGUGCUACAGAACCCGGGGCCCAGCCAGGAAGUGACGUGAGGGACACGUGUGGCCCUGCUUUCCCAGGGAUCUGGGAAGAGAGCCCAGAGAGAUGACCGGUUCCAGCAGGACUGAACCCUCUGCCAGCCGGUGCUUUCCCACUCGUUGCUGGCCCCCACACCCCCUGUUGGCCACCAGGAAUGUGUCACCGCAGUCUUGGGGUCCCUGGGAAGGCUCCCCAGGCCUGGCUGGAAGCUUCCUUCCUCCCGGGCCCUGGGUGGGAACCUGCCCUCCUGCAGCCACCGCCAGCCCCUUGCUUCACAGAUGAGGCCGGGACAGGCUCCUGGGCCUGGGCCAGCAGGCUGGUGCUGCCCUCGGUGACUUGAGGACACAGGCCUGGAUCCAGCUGCUGCACAGACUGCUCCUCCACCAGCUGCCUAAACCCUGUCCCUGGGGAAGGGUGCCCUGGUCCCAGCCUGCCUGGGAUCCGGGCAGCCCUCUUCGAGGCUGGUAGAGCCAGUGCCUGCGACCUUCUCUCUGGCGCUCAGUGGCCCCUGGCUGGAGGAGGAAACCACGGCUCAGGUGGGUGCCUGACGUGCCAGGACCACUCAGCUACACCCUGGCAUAGCUGCCACCAGAGCCCCUGUCUCUCUGCUCUAGAAACUGCUGGGAACAAGGCCUGUCCUCUUGAGUGGUGCCCGCGCUGGCCCUGGGUGUGGUGGGCACCACAAGCUUCACGCUGGACCAGUGGCUGAGGUGCACGUAUGAGCCCCCUCCCCUGCGAGGUGGGCCAGGGGGAGGCACUGCUCAUGCCUCUGCAUGGUUCUGGUAUCCUGCAUAGCUGGGCAGGCAGCGGGUGUCCAUUAAGUGCAUCUGGAGUGAACUGAAUAAACAGGCGCCCAAGCUUUGGGGACCGUCAUA